GACGAACGCUGGCGGUGUGCUUAACACAUGCAAGUCGAACGGUAAGGCCCUUUCGGGGGUACACGAGUGGCGAACGGGUGAGUAACACGUGAGUAACCUGCCCUCAUCUCUGGGAUAACAGUCGGAAACGGUUGCUAAUACUGGAUAUGAGCCUGCAAGGCAUCUUGUGGGUUGGAAAGAUUUUUUGGUUGGGGAUGGACUAGCGGCCUAUCAGCUUGUUGGUGAGGUAGUGGCUCACCAAGGCUUCGACGGGUAGCCGGCCUGAGAGGGCGACCGGCCACAUUGGGACUGAGAUACGGCCCAAACUCCUACGGGAGGCAGCAGUGGGGAAUAUUGCACAAUGGACGGAAGUCUGAUGCAGCAACGCCGCGUGCGGGAUGACGGCCUUCGGGUUGUAAACCGCUUUCAAUUGUGACGAAGCUUUUUGUGACGGUAGCAGUAGAAGAAGCACCGGCUAACUACGUG
rnacentral:rRNA from 1 species